AUUUUAUUUGUCAUACUUUACUUAGAUCACUUGAAGAGAAUACAGCGUCAGAUAUUUCAAACUAUGUGGGGGAGACAAUUAUUAUUACCUGUUUUACUGUACCAAGUUGUUUUCCUUCAAGAUGUGUUCAGCUACUCAGACGAUGAUACCACAGAUAAUAAAAUCGUGGGAGGGCGUUACAUCAGAAUUGAACAAGUUCCUUUUCAAGCUUUUGUGUUAACAGAUAAGAAUACUUGUGGAGGAGUCAUAUAUAGUAAAAAAUGUGUUAUGACUGCCGCACAUUGUGUAGUAAAUACAACAAAAGUUCAAGUAAGAGUGGGAUUUACCCAAUGGGAUGAUUCAGAAGAAAAAUAUCCAUACAGGAAUGGAACCGCUAUCGUGCAUGAAAAAUAUAACAAUACUGAUAAAAAACAUCAAAAUUUUGAUUAUGACAUAGCAAUCAUAAAAUUAUUUAAAGAGUUAGAAGUUGAUGAUGUUAGAAUAGCCAUAGCCAAAUUAGUCGGAUCAGGAGAGCAGCUUGCUGAUGGUACAAACUGCACAGUGUCUGGAUGGGGAUCUUUAAGAGAUAACUCUAUAGCCUCUGCGUAUUUAAAGGCAGCCUAUGUUAAGAAAGUAAAUUAUAAUGAAUGUAAAAAAGUCUUCAAAAAACAACUUACACCUAGAAUGGUUUGUGCUGGUUCUUUUUAUUCUGGCGGGUACCGAUUUACGAAUGUGUGUCGGGGUGAUUCUGGUGGUCCCCUCUUUGACACUCGUACCAAGAAAGUCGCAGGAUUGACGUCUCAUCUAUUCGAUUGCGAUAUAAAUUUGCCUGCAGCUUUUACCAACUUAGCGGAUCCUGGUAUUAGCGAAUGGAUUAAAAAUCAUACACAAUGCGAAAAUUAAAUCAAGAGAAAUUUAAGAAAAUAUUUCCUUUGAUUAUUUUUCAUUUGAUUUUAUUUGUAUCUUCAGUAUGUGUGUGACAAAAUAAUUUAAAUUUAGUGCUUCGUUUCACAUUGAUCCUUCUUUAGUUAAGAAUGCUUAUUUACAGAGAAGAUUGUUUCAAAGUCACAAUAUGUAGAACUAAUUGCAUGUAUUUUUUUCUGUAUUUCUCUCCGUAUUAUCAGCACAUUCAUUGAUAGAUAUAGCUAAACUUUUUUCGUUAAAUCUGGACUAAGUAUUAACUUACUGGCUGGUCAAAUAAUUAAGAAGGCUGUAUAUUUUAUUAUUUUAUUCAAAUUAUAAAACUGAACACUCUAUGGCUCUCUGGUAACUAUUCUUAUAUUUUUCCCUCCAUUUAGUGCUGUAAAAGUCUUGAUGGUGAUUGCUUCAAAAGUAAAGUUAUUAUAAAUCUAUAAGAAAAAUAAUAAUAAAAGUUCGCGAGAAGGUUUGCUCGUAUCAAAAUAUAGCUCAUCUUGUAAUUCUCAAUAAAGAUGUUUUUUAGCACGCUGUGAAGCAUUUUGCCACGUAUCAAUCAACUUCAAAUGUUCCGCGUGUACAUAAAGUGAGAAAGUUAUCUCGUCGAGAUGAUCGCAAUAUCGUUCGUUAAACAAACAACAAACAAAAUCAUUCCGAAGUGUCCAAUGUGCUGAGAAAGAAUAUUUGAUGAAAACCUUCAGCAAUCUCGGUACGCACUAUUCAAAGGCGUUUGGUAGAAGAAAAGUUGCACGGUAGGAUAGCAAGGAAGGUGUCCAUGUUGAAACCGCGACAUAGUGAAGCUCGGCUUGUAUUUGUAAGAAGGUAUGAAAACUGGACGGUUAGACAGUGGAAAAAUAUUACUUUUUAACGAGACAAAAAUAAAUAGGGUAUGUUCUUAGACAUAGUGUCGGACCUGCUAAGCUGGUUGAAGGAAACAUGGAUAAACUCAAAUACAAAAAUAUACUUGAAGAAACAAUGUUACCUUGCUAUAGACGUUCUUCCAGUUAUUUGGACAUUCCAGCAUGGCAAUUACCCAAAGAAUAUUGCACGCAUUGUUAAGAAAUUUCUUACAUCAUAUACAGUUUCAUUCUUAGCCUAACUAUGAACCCGAUAGAGCGUAUUUGGCGGAAGUGGAAGAAAAAUGAUUCAUAUCUUGGGUGGCAACUUUUGAGAGCCAUUCGACGUUUUUCUAGAAGAAUAUGUCAAAAAAUUAAUAGAGUCAAUACCUCGUUGUUAUAAAGCAGUAAUAAAAAGCCAUGGACAAGCUACUAGCUAUUAAUUUUAGUUUAAAUGCAAUAAAUAAAUUGAAUAUUUUUCUUCCCGCACUUCAAAUUAAUGUGAUUUAAGUUUCAUAUAAAACAAUUCUCAAGCAGUUUGAUAAAUUGUUCUUAAUUAUUAGUCCAGCUUCAUUACUAUUUGAAUUUGUCAAUAGAGAUAAUAAAAUAAAAAGUGUGUGUAAAAUAAA